UCUAAUGCUCCCGGAAAGGGCUCCCACUUUACGGCACAACACGGCUCUGCGUGUCCUAUUACGCCGUCGGCAGACUCUCUUCUCUGCAGCCUGUAUGUGUUAUCCGCGUUCCCGAUCCACCCCGCCCAAACCAGGAACAAAGGAAAGCGGCACAAAAUACGCCACAAAACAAAACGCAACAAAAUGAUUAUCCAAACGAAAAACCGACAUGAAACUCACCAGACAUGAUGGCUGAGAUGAAGAGAGGCUCCCUGGAGAAAGACCUGUGGGACUCAACAAUGUCCUUUUCUGCCUCAGCAAUAUGGCCAAGAACGAAAUUUGUGCAAAAGUCUCCAAAAAUCUCAACACAAAUGUCUUACAGCAGAGUCAGAGCAUACAACAAUAUAGUAAUAUAGCUGGGGACAUAUUAGUUUGAGAUUUUCUGCCUCCAUGCCUACUAUUUAAAACCCCUAGAACUCAAUGAUUUGACAAUACUUUGAUUGCGCGUUACUUUCAAUUUGAAUAUUCAGAGGCAACCGAGUUGUAUCGAUUUUUGGAUGAAACUCACCACGCAUGGACAUCACAUAAGCCCCACUUUAAUACAAUAUAUUAUAAUUUUACACUUUGACCGAAAACAAAUCAUACUUUUAUUAAUUUUUUCCUCCUUUUCCAAUAUCAGAGCAUCACACCCCCUCAUUAGGCACUGCAGCCUUGGAUGCUCUUAGCGCAACUUUAAAACGAAAUUCAACUUUUAUCUGCGCCCACAUGAUUAUUGCGAGCAUUGAAAACACCGAUGUUGCAUCUAAACACAAAUAUAAACUUUAUUUUAGACAAAAACGCAUAAAAUUGGAGAAUAAGUGGGCGUGGCAAAGGGCAGCAGCCAUCUUUGGAAGCGCAGGCCUGCAAGGUGCUCUGAGCGCUCUCACCUGCUGAGGGAUGCGGGGAGACACUUAGUGGCUUUCUUUUCUUUCAAAUCUUUAUAUUUAACAGAGUUUAUUUUAUAUAUUUACAUUUUUUAAAUAAAGUUUAUUCCACAAUACUUAGGCUAUUUAUUCCUUAGGAAAAAUUCGGUGUGUUAAAAUCCUUUUUAAUUUAGCACCAAAUCACGUCCACCCGAUCCCCCAUAGUCUGUUAAACUUCGUUACAAUUUUUAAAACACAACUUAUAUUAGUUUUAAUUCAGAUAAUGCAAACUAUGAUUGUACUUCAGACAGCAGUAAUAUUAAAUAGCAGAUCAGCCUGUAAUAACAGCUGAAAUACUUUUUUUUUACUAAAAGAAAGAUGUUGGGCGAACAUGAUAUACAAAAGACUUUAUAAAAAUGAUAGAGGAAAUGUAAAACUGUCCUAUUUUAUGUCCUUUUAAGCCAGCUGCAAACAUCUGCAGAUCUGCAUUCUCCCAAACUGGACAAACAUUAUUUAAUGAAACCCGGUAUAAUAUUAUCAGCGUCAUUUCCAGACUAAUAUUAUGACAUUUUAGUGUUAUUAUCUUUCCAUUAUUAUAUAUUAUGAUCAUAAGAUGCAGUAGUUUGAAAAAAGUAAUUCAUCCGUUUAGAAAGAAAAUGAUAGAUGGACCACUUUUUUUUAAAAAGCGCACAUAAUGUUUGUGUCUUUCCCCUCAGCCUUUAAGAUCUUUCUUUAAACAUCUGAAACACUUUUAAUAAACUCCUCUCCUCAGUACAUGACCCACAUGAAAAACUUCUACAUCCCUCUUCCCUGCGCUCUGCAGUCUAACAUCUUCUCCCUUCUCUCCUUUGCCGCAUUACGUUGGCGCAGUGAGGCAGCAGCUUCAUCUAGUGGCCAAAUUGAAGAACUUCUUCCCAGCUGACAUGCCUGUACAACGUGAGUGUUACGGUGUUUGUUUUUGAUACGAACAACCUCAUAUGAAGGUCUUCAUGAUGACUAAGUAUAACUGAGAUUGUCGUUUUGCUGUUCCUGAACUAGACUGUAUAAUAUUGAUAAUACAUGAGAGGGGCUGGACAUUACCACCUCUUAGAAUAAUGCCCCCAAAUGUACCAUGAUCACCCUCUGAGAUCUCAAUAAUAAAAAAGUAGAAAUGAUGUCCUGUGUGUUUCAAAUGGGUGUAAAUUGUUUUAAAAAAUUAACAAAAUCAAUUGUCAUUGCUGUUUUAUUUUUUAAAAUCUUGAAUCCAUGUACAGCACUUGGAUUGAAAGCGCCUUAUGCAGAAAUUUAUUAUCAUUGUUUUUAUUAUUAAUACCUUUCAACAAAGAACAUAAACUUUCAUUUGAAAAUAGAGAGACUAAUAUCCUGUUUUCAGACUUUAAUUACAUUUCGAUGUUAAAUCUGCUUUUUGUAUCAAUGUGUGAGUGAGUGCUCUAACUAUAGACAUAUUCUUAUCUUAUCUUGUUGUCAGUUAUUUUAUUAAAAACACUCGAGGGACCUAAAGGAUGAAAUCCCUUUUGGGUGUAAAAGAAAAAAAAGAUUCAAGCCCAUAUGUUCUGUAUCUAUUUUUCCUGUGAGGAUUCAUAAGCAUUUUAAGAACCUGAUGUUAUUAAUCUUUGUAGAGUUAUUCUAAUGUAAUUUAUAAAUAUCUAAUGUUCUAUGUUGAGUGUGAAUGAUAAUUGAAUGUUGUCUUUUUGUGGUCUCAGCAUGGGUGAAGGGUCCAAGACAAAUUUCUCACUUCGACAAUAAAGUUCAUCUUGAUCUUGA